AGGCUUCACUGCUCUCGCAGACGCGGAUUAAACAAGUCUGGUCUAGCUGUUCGUUCUGAAGAUUAGACGAGAUCGUGACUAAAAGGGCUGUGAAAACUUCAAAGAGGAAGAGGAAAGCCUCCUGACUGGUCUCCUUUGGGCACCGAGAGUCCCCUCUGGCUGCUCUGUGGAGGAGAGAUGUGGAAGAGUAAGAAGAAACACCUGCAGACAGAUGAAGACACGUAAUUCAGGAAACUGAUCAUGCAGAAAGCACUGUCCUUUUAAGAUACCAUUUAAGAUCAAGCUCUACAUCUCCAAGCAAGGUUUCAUUGCUGAGGAAAAAUGUGCAACUGAAGAAAAUUCCAAUUAACCAGGUUAGGAGAAAGACUGGCUUCUCUUCUUAUUCUUUUUACAU